rnacentral:piRNA from 1 species
GCUGUGGAAGAUAUGAGAAAUCGAUGG